UCCUACGGUGAGCCAGGUUUGAAGGCUUUGGCUCCAAAGAGACUUUCCUGUGUCUGAAAGCCAUUUUGGGCCCGGGCUCUGGUUUCACCCCAUCUUUGGGCAAUCGAUAUAUCAGGCUGUUUCUACCCUGGGAGCUUCUAAUGGCAAGAACUCUGGUAACAUUAUAUGUCUAACAGGGGCGGAGGAAGAGAAAACCAGGAGCUUGAGUCUCAAUGUGAUGCUUCACUCGGCAAUAAAUCCAAGUGGCAACAAAGUAAGUAGACUGCAUAAAAGAGAUACGAGCAAAAACAUGAAUAAUUCCAAACACGCAAUGCAACAAGGGAAAUGUUGGCAGAAAUCUUCAAAAGGAGACGAGCACACAGUGAGCGCCACAGUGUCUGGAUGACUCCACCUUUUUCGGGGCAAACUAAGAGCAAAUGUACAGAUCGACUCUCGAGGUUAGCGGUAUGGACUUCAUAGAGUCAGAGGUGCCAUUCAACCACUAAAAGCUCCCGCCCCGCCGAGCUCUCCGACCGGCUGGAUUCUGAGGAAGAGAUGCUGAGGUAAUGGCUUCCUUAUGGACUCCCGGAGCAAGAGUGAUGGGCUGACAGAAGGCAUGGGGGCCACAGUCUGAACCGCAGGCAGAUUUUUGCUGGUGGCUCCAUUCACAAAGCUGGAAGAAGAAGAAGUGGACGAAUCCGUGGCUCCUGCAAGACAACAAGAGAGAAGUCCGAGAUUAGGAACAUGCUGAUGUUAUUUAUUUAAUUAUGCAUUGUGAAUCGCUAAAUUAAGUUUUGGUGCAAAAAACUUUGGUGGACUUUAGGGGGAAACAAAUAAAUACAUUAAAAAUAUUUUGUAGACACUGAAAAAAAAAUUUCACUUUACAUCCAAAACAAAUGCCCACCAAAACAUCAGAUGCAGUAAGAUAAAAAUUCUCUUUGGGGUUUUUCAUCGGGUAACAACAUAACGACAGAGACACAAGCUCUGAGAAACGAAUCAUCACUAUUACUCUCGCCUCCCCAUGAGAAAGUGAAGCACCAUCUUACAAUUCCUCUUAUAUUUCUCUUUCUCUCUCUCUCUGUCAAAAGGCACAGUGUCCACAGUGUCCUGUGCAGCAGGGAGCUUCUGAUAGAUACAUCACCGCAAUGGACUGUCAUCCUGUGAAACCACAAGCUGUCACGGGACAUCUGAGGAUGGGAAAUCUAUUACGCAGCCAUCAAUCGCUGUGUCAGAGAUGAGUGUCCACCCAUAAGCAAAUACACCAAGAUGAAGGGAAACGUCAAGAGGGACAUUCUGAUGGAUUUCACUGGAAGUGCAGCUUGGCCUGAUUCAACCUCAAUCCAAAUCAACGUCCCUUGUGCAUUCGAAGAUCUCAAUCUAUUUAAUGGACAAGGGGGACUAAAAGUCUCUUUUUAAAGGAAAAUGUGAUAUGUUUUUCGGUUCUCAAAAUAUACUGUACACAACAUUUCAGAAGUUUGGGGUUAGUAUGUUUAUUUUAUUUUAUUAAAGAAAUUAAUACUUUCAUUCAGCAAGUAUUCAGUUAAUUGAUCAAAAGUGACUGUAAAGGUGUAUAUAAUGUUACAGAAGAUUCCUAUUUCCAAUUAUAAAAGUACCCCCCCCCCAAAAAAAAAAAAAAA